rnacentral:rRNA from 1 species
GUAGGUGGCAAGCGUUGUCCGGAAUUAUUGGGCGUAAAGCGCGCGCAGGCGGUCCUUUAAGUCUGAUGUGAAAGCCCACGGCUCAACCGUGGAGGGUCAUUGGAAACUGGGGGACUUGAGUACAGAAGAGGAAAGCGGAAUUCCACGUGUAGCGGUGAAAUGCGUAGAGAUGUGGAGGAACACCAGUGGCGAAGGCGGCUUUCUGGUCUGUAACUGACGCUGAGGCGCGAAAGCGUGGGGAGCAAACAGGGAUUAGAUACCCUGGUAGUCCACGCCGUAAACGAUGAGUGCUAAGUGUUAGGGGGUUUCCCGCCCCUUAGUGCUGCAGCUAACGCAUUAAGCACUCCGCCUUGGGAGUACGGCCGCAAGGCUG